GAUGAACGCUGGCGGCAUGCCUAACACAUGCAAGUCGAGCGAACCCUUCAGGUCUUUUCUCCCCUGAGUGCAUCAGCCGUCGGAACCUGCCCUCAUGUUUGGCAUAACUCUACGAAUGGGAUAACUAUGCCGAACAAGAUCUUCUACCCAAGGAUUUAUCGACCUUGGAUGUGCCCGCGUUGGAUUAGCUAGUUGUUAGGGUAAUAGCCUCCCAAGGGGACGAUCCAUAGCUGGUCUGAGAGGAUGAUUAGCCACACCGGGACUGAGACACGGCCCAGACUCUUACGGGAGGCGGCAGUGGGGAAUAUUGGACAAUGGGCGAAAGCCUGAUCCAGCAAUGCCGCGUGAGUGAUGAAGGCCUUAGGGUUGUAAAGCUCUUUUACCCGGGAUGAUAAUGACAGUACCGGGAGAAUAAGCGCCGGCUAACUCCGUG
rnacentral:rRNA from 1 species